UAUUACAAAGCCCUUACAGCCGUGGCUUCCAGAAACAUGUUUCAUUCAUGACAGGAAACUGGGGGAUGCUAAUCAGAAUGCAGGUGCUUCUCCACAGGUUACAGAUUGACAGAUAGAACCACAACAUCCGCAUGUUAGGAGCACCUGAGAGCUUUCUAAGUGAAGACGCAUCCUCGGGCAAAAAGACAGCACUCCAACCUGACAUCUGGUCUGAGCUGAGAGAUCUGAGAGACAUGGUGGUGCUGCAGAGAGCAGAGCUGAGCCGCACCAUGGCUGAACUACGAGAUACUAAGAACCAGAUGGAGGGGCUAAAAACAGAGAUCUCAGUCAUGGAGUCCAGGCUGAUGAGUUCUGAAGGACAACUUGAGGCAAUGAAGACAGACAUGCAGCCAUAGUGAGCAGAGUAACAUCCGCUGAGAGUGAGGUUGAGAGACUACAGAAGGAGAAUGCAGAGAGACCUAAGGUCGCAUUUUCAACCUCUUUUGGAAAAACUGGACAGCAUGGGCCAUUCCACACUGCCACCACCGUGGUCUUCCAGAAUAUAUUCUCAAACACUGGCAACCACUACAACCAAGCUACAGACAGCCCUUACAGAAUUACCCACCAACAAAGGACCAAGCAGCGGAAGAAGGCUGGCGAGGUAAGGGAAACCGGGAGGCACCCCCAAGACAUUUUUAGGGGGGGGCACAAGGGGAGUUUUGCGGGGCAAGAAUGGAGCCCCAGGCCAGCUCCCCGCACUAGCAUGGAGGUGCGUGUUCGCAAUCUGGUACGCCCAGCACCAGCACCACGCACCAGGAGUCUAGUGUGUCAACCCAGCCUCGCCAGUCAACAGUCGUCAUCAGAGCUGCCCGCCAGUCAACAGUCGUCAUCAGAGCUGCCCGCCAGUCAACAGUCGUCAUCAGAGCUGCCCGCCAGUCAACAGUCGUCAUCAGAGCUGCCCGCCAGUCAACAGUCGUCAUCAGAGCUGCCCGCCAGUCAACAGUCGUCAUCAGAGCUGCCCGCCAGUCAACAUUCGUCAUCAGAGCUGCCCGCCAGUCAACAGUCGUCAUCAGAGCUGCCCGCCAGUCAACAGUCG
rnacentral:lncRNA from 1 species